rnacentral:rRNA from 1 species
ACUUUAAUUCUUUGUCUGGCUGAUCUGACGGUAAUGCGCCACGCGAGUGAUAAAGGCCUGCUGAUCGAACAACUCUGUUAAUAGGGAAGAACAUAUGUGUAAGUAACUGUGCACAUCUUGACGGUACCUAAUCAGAAAGCCACGGCUAACUACGUGCCAGCAGCCGCGGUAAUACGUAGGUGGCAAGCGUUAUCCGGAAUUAUUGGGCGUAAAGCGCGCGUAGGCGGUUUUUUAAGUCUGAUGUGAAAGCCCACGGCUCAACCGUGGAGGGUCAUUGGAAACUGGAAAACUUGAGUGCAGAAGAGGAAAGUGGAAUUCCAUGUGUAGCGGUGAAAUGCGCAGAGAUAUGGAGGAACACCAGUGGCGAAGGCGACUUUCUGGUCUGUAACUGACGCUGAUGUGCGAAAGCGUGGGGAUCAAACAGGAUUAGAUACCGAGGUAGUCCAU